AACGAACGCUGGCGGCAUGCCUAACACAUGCAAGUCGAACGAGACCUUCGGGUCUAGUGGCGCACGGGUGCGUAACGCGUGGGAACCUGCCCUUAGGUUCGGAAUAACUCCCCGAAAGGGGUGCUAAUACCGGUUAUUGUCUUGGGCCCAAAGAUUUAUCGCCUUUGGUUGGGCCCGCGUUGGAUUAGCUAGUUGGUAGGGUAAAAGCCUACCAAGGCGACGAUCCAUAGCUGGUCUGAGAGGAUGAUCAGCCACACUGGGACUGAGACACGGCCCAGACUCCUACGGGAGGCAGCAGUGGGGAAUAUUGGACAAUGGGCGAAAGCCUGAUCCAGCAAUGCCGCGUGAGUGAUGAAGGCCUUAGGGUUGUAAAGCUCUUUUACCCGGGAUGAUAAUGACAGUACCGGGAGAAUAAGCUCCGGCUAACUCCGUG
rnacentral:rRNA from 1 species